rnacentral:pre_miRNA from 1 species
AACUAGUACGCUCUGUGGUAAAAGUGAUUUUGAAAACUUUCACCGGGAACGUAUUAGUUA